UAUUCCAGUAAUUAAUCUAAGAGAGAUGUCAUGCUAAACCGUAAGUGAUUGGUUUACUUGUGCCUUGGCAGAACUAUAGCAUAAUGAGUUACAAGAAUAUAUUCAAUCAUAAUUUAUUUUUAUUAGUUAGUUUUAUACCUCUAUAGUAGUUAACAUAUUCGGAAUUUUUAAAGAAUAAAUAAAUAAAUACAGGCAUUAGAUAUGAUGGAGUUCUCUGGGUCUGGUCCUUGCUUGCACGUUUCACUAUCAAGUAGGUAACAUCAUCAAUGUGCAACAUCUGCAAGGCAUCAACUAAGCUCAGAGAGCACCAAGAACUCCAGUUUAAUCCUGAGCUACAGAUAUUCUUUUCUAUUGGAACCCAAGUAUGAUUUCAAUUACUACCAGUAUGAUUCCAGCUGGCAUUUGGCCCUUAGUCUAGUUUAACUGAAUGACAUCUAUGAUGUAUUGUACUUUUAUUGUUGAUUUUUAUUACCGGUACUUAAACAAAAUUCCACCCCUUAUUCUUGUUUUAAGAUUAUUGUACCAGCAACUUUUUAAACCGUAGAAUAAUAAAAUAAGGUAGGGUGAUAUUCAGUACAUAUCAUUAUUUUAGAAGAGUAGCUAUUUUAUAUUCCUUGGAUGGAUAACCAAUAUGGAUCUGAUUCAAACUUAGAUUGUCCAAGCUCUGAAUUCUGGAGCACAAUAUGUGACUGCUUAGGGAUAAAGCAUCUUGACUACUUCUUUUAAUCUGACGUAUUUGUUGCUUUGGGAUUUCCACUGUACUAUUUUUUUAAAGCAGCUUUGUUACAUUAACAAACUGUUAUUGCAUUAUUUAUCUUCCAUUAGUUCUGAGAAAGAGCUCUGACCACAAUAUCUUCCUUGGCAGGACACAGACUGAAAGAGUAGCCCCCCCCCCGAACUUCAGACCCCAUGAAGCAAAAAUGCAUUCCAAUAGGAGUUCUCCUCCAAAACUUUACAAUCUGGAGAUCCACAAUGACGUUUUUUUUAAGCAAUAAUAAGCAAGGAAGGAUCAAUGCCACAUUUUCUUUGGCUGAUGGCAUUAAAGAAUGAUGCCUACACAGCUUUCUUUGCAUCCACUUUCACAGCAGCUAUAAGUCCUAUUCUGGAAGCAUGUACUAUCAAGUACGUGUCUAUAAAUUCAAAAUACACGGCUUCCUUAUUUAUUUACAGCACGUUGUAUUCAUUAUAUUUUUAAAAUGUGCAUCAGUUUUAUUCUUUUCUUGGAAUUAAAAAAAAUAGAAAAAUAUUAAACAUGCUGAUGAAAUCCUUCAGCCAGUCUUGAUAGCUUGAAUUCUGGGUUAGCCAUGGAUUUUCUUUUCUUUUCAAAUCCAAAUACUUUGAGCCAAGGCUUCCUGAAACAGCAGUAAAGGAAGAUGUGUACUUGGUCAGGAAAAAGUCCAGUAAGUCGUUUGGAACCAAAUCAAAAGCUGGCUCCCUUUAUAAUGGAAAGUCACUUUUCAUUAAAGCGGUCUGACCUUAAGCGUUUCUGAUUAUUAUUUUUUUAAAUCGACACCUGACUACCACCCGGACAGAGUGAGGCGCUCUGCACAUGCUCAGAGAGAAACAGUUUGUGCUUUAUUCACAUGACCCUGAACUCCCAUGGUUUUUCUCGGGAUUCACGCCCGGACGCUUACUAGUUGUACCAGUCUACUCCUUCGUAUUUUUUUUCUCUGCCUGCUGGAGCUGCGAGACCAAACUCGAAGCUUUUCUCUCUUCUGCAUCGCCCAAGCGUACAGUACACUCUGCUUACGCGAAACCCAGCGCUAGCUUGCCUCGUGAGCGAACACACACACGUACGCGCACCCACGAGCGCUUCCCACUUGCCAUAAUUACCCUUCCCGACCGCCUCCUUGGUUCUCCACCCUGCUAGCCUGUCCACGGACGGAGUUUAGGUAGAAAGCGGCUGGCCGAGGCGGGGUUCCCCCAGCUUGCUAGUCCCGCUGGGCGGGGGGGGGGGCGGUACGCUUUCCUUCGCGCGCUACUUGGAGUCGCGUUUUCACACCACGCCCGAAAAACAAAAGGCAUCGGCCUCGCCAACGGAUGGGGUUGCUGGCACCCUGCAGAAACCCAAGCUGGGCGGAAAACGGAACCGGACCGGCUGCCGCACCUUCCUUAUUUGCGCCGAUCGCCUCCAGGGACCCUCGGUUGCUCUGCAAGGCCUCAGGAGGUGGUAUUUCCUUCAUUCAGUCCCCCUGCCUACUCAGGAGUUCUGCAGCUGUAAUGGCUGCUGGCUGGUGAACUGGGAAAACUUCGAAAGGAAGGAAUACCAAGUCCACCAAGCUGGAAGAGAGCAUGAAAAAAAGUCGCAGUGUCCUUGCUGUGACUGCAGAUGAGAAGCCAAAGGACACUUUGGACCCCAACGGGUGCAGCCGUUCUUAUACCUCCUCCAGCAUGCUGGGCUCUGAUUUACGUCGGGGACGGAGACGCCUCUCCUCCAGCUUGCAGGUCCCUCCACGGAAACCCAUAGACAGAGCACGCUCCCCAGAGCCAGACAAUGUCCAGAGGCCAACCACUCUGCCACUCCGCAUCCCUCCCCGAAUUUCUAUCACCCAUGCUGACCCAAACAGGUAAGACAAGGGGAAGAAAGGCAAUGAAGCCGGGGCAGAAUGUCAACAGGAAGGUGAACAUAUCAAUAACAGGCCACCUGGAAGACAGAGAAAAGUGUUAGCUUUGCAAAUAGGAGAAAGCUAUGGGAGGAACCGUGUAAGGGGAGAAACAGUGUACAACGAACAAGAAAGCUGAUUUUUUUUUUUCAUCGUGUCAAAUUUGUAACCACAUUCUGGUGUUCAUGUGAU